rnacentral:rRNA from 1 species
CCUACGGGAGGCAGCAGUGGGGAAUAUUGGACAAUGGGGGGAACCCUGAUCCAGCGACGCCGCGUGAGUGAAGAAGUAUUUCGGUAUGUAAAGCUCUAUCAGCAGGGAAGAAAGAAAUGACGGUACCUGACUAAGAAGCCCCGGCUAACUACGUGCCAGCAGCCGCGGUAAUACGUAGGGGGCAAGCGUUAUCCGGAUUUACUGGGUGUAAAGGGAGCGUAGACGGCGAUGCAAGUCUGAAGUGAAAGGCGGGGGCUCAACCCCCGGACUGCUUUGGAAACUGUAUGGCUGGAGUGCAGGAGAGGUAAGUGGAAUUCCUAGUGUAGCGGUGAAAUGCGUAGAUAUUAGGAGGAACACCAGUGGCGAAGGCGGCUUACUGGACUGUAACUGACGUUGAGGCUCGAAAGCGUGGGGAGCAAACAGGAUUAGAUACCCGAGUAGUC